rnacentral:rRNA from 1 species
AGAGUUUGAUCAUGGCUCAGGACGAACGCUGGCGGCGCGCUUAACACAUGCAAGUCGAGCGAGAACCAGGCCUUCGGGCCUGGGGACAGCGGCGAACGGGUGAGUAACACGUGGGUAAUCAACCCUCGGUACUGGGAUAGCCCGGGGAAACCCGGAUUAAUACCGGAUGGCCCUUCGGAUCUUCGGUUCUGAAGGAAAAGGUAGCUUCGGCCUCCGACCGAGGACGAGCCCGCGGCGGAUUAGCUUGUUGGUGGGGUAACGGCCUACCAAGGCAGCGAUCUGUAGCUGGUCUGAGAGGACGAUCAGCCACACUGGGACUGAGACACGGCCCAGACUCCUACGGGAGGCAGCAGUGGGGAAUCUUGCGCUAAUGCGGGAAACCGUGACGCAGCGACGCCGCGUGAGGGAAGAAGGCCUUCGGGUUGUAAACCUCUUUCAGGAGGGACGAAGCUACUCGGGUUAAUAGCCCAGAGGGUGACGGUACCUCCAGAAGAAGCCCCGGCUAACUACGUGCCAGCCGCCGCGGUAAUAC